CAUGCAAGUCACGGGGGCNCGCAAGGGCAACCGGCGAACGGGUGCGUAACACGUGAGCAACCUACCGAGAUCUGGGGGAUAGCCGGCCCAACGGCCGGGUAAUACCGCAUACGCUCUUUCCACGGCAUUGUGGAUUGAGGAAACCUCCGGGGGAUUUCGAGGGGCUCGCGGCCUAUCAGCUAGUUGGCGAGGUCACGGCUCACCAAGGCGACGACGGGUAGCUGGUCUGAGAGGAUGGCCAGCCACAUUGGGACUGAGAAACGGCCCAGACUCCUACGGGAGGCAGCAGUGGGGAAUCUUGCGCAAUGGCCGAAAGGCUGACGCAGCGACGCCGCGUGUGGGAGGAAGCCUUUCGGGGUGUAAACCACUGUUGCCCGGGACGAACAGCCCCUUAGUGGGGCCUGACGGUACCGGGUGAGGAAGCACCGGCUAACUCCGUGCCAGCAGCCGCGGUAAUACGGGGGGUGCGAGCGUUGUCCGGAAUCACUGGGCGUAAAGGGCGCGUAGGUGGCUUGGCAAGCGCGUGGUGAAAGCCCGGGGCUCAACCCCGGGUCUGCCAUGUGAACUGCUAUGGCUUGAGCACUGUAGAGGCAGGUAGAAUUCCGGGUGUAGCGGUGGAAUGCGUAGAGAUCCGGAAGAAUACCGGUGGGCGAAGGCGGNCCUGCUGGGCAGUUGCUGACACUGA
rnacentral:rRNA from 1 species